rnacentral:rRNA from 1 species
UACGUAGGGUGCGAGCGUUGUCCUGAAUUCUUGGGCGUAAAGAGCUCGUAGGCGGUCUGUCGCGUCGGUCGUGAAAACUUGGGGCUUAACCCUGAGCUUGCGGUCGAUACGGGCAUGACUGGAGUUCGGCAGGGGAGACUGGAAUUCCUGGUGUAGCGGUGAAAUGCGCAGAUAUCAGGAGGAACACCGGUGGCGAAGGCGGGUCUCUGGGCCGAUACUGACGCUGAGGAGCGAAAGCGUGGGGAGCGAACAGG